CUAUUUUGUAAACUACCCCUGUGUAGUUGGAGAAGAUUUAUUCUGCAAUUGUUGGAUAUAGUGUUUUAUAAAUAUUAAUGAUGUCAAGUUGGAUAAAAAUGUUGUUCAAACAGUCUUCUGUUUACUCAUUUUUUCCUGCUUGUUCUAUCAAUUACUGAGAGAGAUUUACCAGUCUCCUACUAGGAUUACAGAUUUUUCUAUUCAUCCUUUUAGUUCUGCCAACUUCUGCUUCAUCUAUUAUGAGGUUUUGUUUUUAGGUGUACACAUAUUUAGGACCGUUUUCCUAAUGAGAUCACUAUUUGAUUAUUAUGAGUGUCUUUAUUUUUGGUAAUAUUCAUUGACUAGGGGGUGUUUUUUCCAUAACAGUAAUAUUUUACUUUUCUAAUUGCAAUAGUAAUACUGUAUUUCUCAUCAUUGGUAUUUGCACAAGUAUUUUUCCAUCCUUUUACUUUAAACCUAUCUGAUCUUAUUUUUAAAGUACAUCCUUGCAAACAGCAUACGGUUGAGUCUUAUUUUCUUGAUCCAGGCUGAGACUGUAAGAAAUUCAUUUAAUAUCUGGUAUAUUCAAUUUUAAAAUAAACUUUUGGAAUAACUUUAGAUUUACAGAAAAGUUGCAAAAAUACAACAGGAGAAUCCUAAAUACUUCUUACUAGUUUUCUCUAUGUUAAUACUUUAUAUAAGCGUAGUACAUUUAUCAAAACUAAAAAAACAUUGUCACUUUACCAUUACAUAAAAUCCAGACAUUAUUUGGAUGUCACCAGUUUUUCCAUUAAUGUCAUUUUUCUGUUCCAAGAUCCAAUCCAGGAUUCCACGUGGCAUUUUUUAUUCCAUCUAUUAUUUCACCAUUUACUUUUAAUGCAAUUUUGUGUUUGCAAUUUUGCUUUUCUUCUUAAAGAUCACCCCUCCCAAAUUGUACAAACUUCUCGUUAGAUCUACCCUACUUUUGAUAGAUGUCUAAUUUUGUUUCUACCAUAAUAAUUUUUAAUGCCCUCCCUCCACCCAAACACAGAGAAAAAGACAGACAGAAUUGUGUGUGUGUGGUUUCUUUUGUUUUCUAAUUCUUGUUACAUAAACUAUUGUUAUUUUCUUUCAUCUUUCUCCAGUGAUCUUUAGAGCAUAUAUAUUAUUUUAGAUUCCACUACUGGUUAUCAUUUACUUUUAAAAAAAUUUUAUAUUUGAAUCUAUAUUUUUUAAAUUAGCUAAGACCCAAAUAAACAGUUUAUUUGGACUACCCUUACGUAUGAU
rnacentral:lncRNA from 1 species